UAUAGGGUUGCGAGGCCACCAUUAGUACAUGGUUUAUACUCACCAGAUGCUUAUGGUCUUAUAGUAUUUUCAUUUGGCAUGGUUCCUUAACCAAAUUGGAGUCCUUACUCGCACAGUUUGGAUGAUAGCAUGUCUGAACCGAAAGAUCUGAGAAACCGUUGGAACGAGAACAGUUGCUCACAGCUAGAAUCAUGAUUGAAGACGGCCUUUGUGUGCUACUUGAUGUAGAUGACAUUAACUGUCUCUUGCAGUCAACCCAGCCACAAGAUGGAGGUAUAUUAUUAAUAUACCUUAAUGUAAUAUAUUAAGGUAACACGCUCCUUGGUCCAUACGCGCCAGGUGCUUUUGGUCCAUCAUCCGCCGCCUACUAUAGGGUUGCGAGGCCACCAUUAGUACAUGGUUUAUACUCACCAGAUGCUUAUGGUCUUAUAGUAUUUUCAUUUGGCAUGGUUCCUUAACCAAAUUGGAGUCCUUACUCGUUAUGAGAUGCUGGGACGUGUGAUCUUGGUCGUGUCACCGAGAGCUCAACCAUCUAUAUAUGGUGUGAAUUCUUUGGCCCGACCUUUUGCAGCACAGUUUGGAUGAUAGCAUGUCUGAACCGAAAGAUCUGAA